CCAGGCCUUUCAACUCGGAAAUAUCGUUUUCUAAGUGCUGCCAGCUGCUUCUUCACACCAGUAAAUUUAAGUUCUUGGAUCUCCCAGCUUCCAGUCAUAAUUUUACCAGGACCAUUCCCGACGGCUGAGAGAAUCCUGGCUGGUUGUUGUCCUCCCUUUUCUCAAUAAUUUUUCCAAGUUCAUCCUGAUUUAUGUUAGUCAAUAAUACAUUUAUGGUCAAUUGACCUUCCUGUGACAUAUCUGUAAUUCCCAAUAGUAUGCCUUCUAAUACUGAAUUAACCGGGUGUUUAAAUUGUCCUGUUUCCAUUAAAGUCAUAUGUAUUUAA